CAGCAGCCGCGGUAAUACGUAGGUGGCAAGCGUUGUCCGGAUUUAUUGGGCGUAAAGCGAGCGCAGGCGGUCAAUUAAGUCUGAUGUGAAAGCCCCCGGCUCAACCGGGGAGGGUCAUUGGAAACUGGUUGACUUGAGUGCAGAAGAGGAGAGUGGAAUUCCAUGUGUAGCGGUGAAAUGCGUAGAUAUAUGGAGGAACACCAGUGGCGAAGGCGACUCUCUGGUCUGUAACUGACGCUGAGGCUCGAAAGCGUGGGUAGCAAACAGGAUUAGAUACCCCAGUAGUCCCUGUCUCUUAUAC
rnacentral:rRNA from 1 species